rnacentral:rRNA from 1 species
GAGGAAUAUUGGGCAAUGCCCGCAAGGGUGACCCAGCAACGCCGCGUGGAGGAUGAAUGCCGUAAGGUUGUAAACUCCUGUUAGAGGGGACGAAUAGUUCCGGUAGCACCGGAAUUUGACUGUACCCUCAGAGAAAGCCCCGGCUAACUACGUGCCAGCAGCCGCGGUAAUACGUAGGGGGCAAGCGUUGUCCGGAUUUACUGGGUGUAAAGGGCGCGCAGGCGGACUAGCAAGUCAGAGGUGAAAUCUCCCGGCUUAACCGGGAAACUGCCUUUGAAACUGUUAGUCUUGAGUGCGGAAGAGAGAGACGGAAUUCCAGGUGUAGUGGUGAAAUACGUAGAUAUCUGGAAGAACACCAGUUGCGAAGGCGGUCUCUUGGUCCGCAACUGACGCUGAGGCGCGAAAGCGUGGGUAGCAAAC